rnacentral:rRNA from 1 species
AACGAACGCUGGCGGCAGGCCUAACACAUGCAAGUCGAGCGAAGCCUUCGGGCUUAGCGGCGGACGGGUGAGUAACGCGUGGGAACGUGCCCUUUGGUACGGAAUAGCCCCGGGAAACUGGGAGUAAUACCGUAUGUGGUCGAGAGACGAAAGAUUUAUCGCCAAAGGAUCGGCCCGCGUUGGAUUAGGUAGUUGGUGGGGUAAUGGCCUACCAAGCCGACGAUCCAUAGCUGGUUUGAGAGGAUGAUCAGCCACACUGGGACUGAGACACGGCCCAGACUCCUACGGGAGGCAGCAGUGGGGAAUCUUAGACAAUGGGGGAAACCCUGAUCUAGCCAUGCCGCGUGAUCGAUGAAGGCCUUAGGGUUGUAAAGAUCUUUCAGUGGGGAAGAUAAUGACUGUACCCACAGAAGAAGCCCCGGCUAACUCCGUGCCAGCCGCCGCGGUAAAAC